AGCAGUGGUAAUUCAUUGGUUAAAGCUUUUGGCUAUUAAUCAGAAGGUUGUGAGUUCAAAUCCCACCACUGCUA